CCUACGGGUGGCAGCAGUGAGGAAUAUUGGUCAAUGGGCGCGAGUCUGAACCAGCCAAGUCGCGUGAGGGAAGACGGUCCUAUGGAUUGUAAACUGCUUUUGUCGGGGAGCAAUGCCGGGCACGCGUGCCUGCAGGGAAAGUACCAGCAGAAUAAGCAUCGGCUAACCCCGUGCCAGCACCCGCGGUAAUACGGGGGAUGCGAGCGUUACCCGGUUUUUUUGGGUGUAAAGCGGCCGUAGUCGGUAUGUCAAGUCAAGGGUGAAAUUCCCGGGCUCAACGUGGGAAUUGCCUUUGAAACUGGAAAACUGGAGUGUGUGGGAGGAUAGUGGAAUUCCAGGUGUAGGAGUGAAAUCCGUAGAUAUCUGGAGGAACAUCAGUGGCGAAGGCGACUAUCUGGCACAUAACUGACGCUGAGGAGCGAAAGCGUGGGUAGCAAACAGGAUUAGAUACCCGUGUAGUC
rnacentral:rRNA from 1 species